rnacentral:rRNA from 1 species
AAACUUGUCAAUGCGGGAAACCGCGAACAGGGGAGUCCAAGUGCUUGCACUUUGUGUAAGCUGUUCGGUGUCUGAAAAAACAGCCGAAGAAGGGCUGUAGACA